GAUCUGGAGGAUGGAGGAUCCAUGCAAAAGACAUUUUUGACACCCUCCAAAAUGGGACUCUCAUGCUGUUCCCUCCCCAAACACCCCAGAUUUCUGCUACCAAUCUCACUUGCAGCUGCCUCUGCUGCCCUUCGGGGGACCCCCUGCCCCCCGUGUGUGGUCAUUUCCCAGGCAGAGCA